AGGAUGUGAAAAGCAACAAGACAGUUCUUCAUUACACCGUGCAGGAUGGGAACGUCUCCCUGCUCAGGUACUUCCUGGAGCUGAACGCUUUCAAGUGCAAGGAUUUUGUCAACAACAAGGCCCAUGGCAACACAGCCCUGCACAUGGCAGCUGCUUUGCCUGGGGACAAGAACCAGAAGGAAAUCAUCCAGCUGCUCCUGGAGCACGGGGCAGACCCCAGCAUCAGGAAUUUGGACAAUGACCAGCCAAUCCACAUGGCCCCUGCUGGCAAAGCUGGGGAGCAGGUCAGGAAUUUGCUGAAGAGAGGGAAAGUCACACCUGCAUUCAACUCCUGCCACAGAAGUGCCAGAUCCUGAUUUAUCUGCAAUUUAUGGAACAGCUUCAACUCUGGCUUGUGCCUCCUAUAAAAGCUGUGAGGGUGUUCUGCAGCACAUCCCUGCUCCUGCAGGCUGGGCUGGGAGUGUUCCUCAACCUGUGGCCACCAGCAGCACACCAGACAGCAGAGCCUUCAAAGGGUUGAAAACUCAAUUUUGGUAACAGAAAAUGAGAAUAAAUCUCCAGCAAGGAGGUGAGCA
rnacentral:lncRNA from 1 species